rnacentral:piRNA from 1 species
AUUUGAAAGAUGAGGAGGGAC